UCAAUUUCUUUCUUUCUUUCUUUCUUUCUUUCUUUCUUUCUUUCUUUCUUUCUUUCUUUCUUUCUUUCUUUCUUUCUUUUUUGACAGGCAGAGUGGACAGUGAGAGAGAGAGACAGAGAGAAAGGUCUUCCUUUGCCGUUGGUUCACCCUCCAAUGGCUGCCACGGCUGGCUGCGGUCGGCGCACCACGGCCGGCGCACUGCGCUGAUCAGAUGGCAGGAGCCAGGUACUUCUCCUGGUCUCCCAUGGGGUGCAGGGCCCAAGUACUUGGGCCAUCCUCCACUGCACUCCCGGGCCAUAGCAGAGAGCUGGCCUGGAAGAGGGGCAACCGGGACAGAAUCCGGCGCCCCAACCAGGACUAGAACAUGGUGUGUUGGCGCCGCAAGGCGGAGGAUUAGCCUCGUGAGCUGCGGCGCCGGCCUUCAAUUUCUUUUUAGUUCUAGUUUUUUGUGUUGCUUCUUUUUAAAGCUGUUUCCUUUAUUUUUAAUCAUCAGCAUUAUUUUUAGGAAAUUUUCUGUGUUCUCUACUUCCUUCUGCCUCAUUUCUAAUACCAGGGCAUAUAAGUUAUGUGUGAAAUACUUGAGGAAACUAACUUUAUAAGGACAAAAGUUUUAUUUAGCUCAGAGUUGUGAAGGUUCAAAGUCCAAGAUCCGAUGGACCUCUGGUGAGGGUGGGGAUAGCAAUGGAGGGAGCAGGUGUUGGAAUGAGCAGGCACAUCUAUACCCAGGCAGCCAGGAGAGACUGGGUUCAAGCUAGGAUUGUUUCUUAUCAGUCUUCUAAUGACAACUGCUUUCCUAGGGCAUACUCACAAAGACCUAAACACUUCCCACUCUACUCUGCCUCCUACAGGUUGCAUCAGCUCCCAGCAGUGCCUCCCUGGGAACCAAGCCUCUAAUUAUGGAUCUUUGAAUGAGAACCAGUACUAUCCAAACCAUAGCAUUGUGUAAAGACUUUGGAGAGUUUUAACUUACUUUAUGCCUUUUGACUCCACAAAAAGCAUUAUCACAAUGUUGACUUUGUAUGUAAGCAUUGUGCAUGUACAUGAAAAUUUUAAAACUUCCUCAAUAAAUGAAGAGAAGUCCUUUUUUUACAUCUGCCUUUGUGAAAGUCUUUCAACAAAUGAUACUGAGACGACUAGAAAUCCAUACGCCAAAGAACGAUGAUGACCCUUAACUCAAGAUGGGUUAAAAAAAGGUGGUCAGAACAAUAAAAUUCAUAGAAGAAGAAGAACAUAUACAAUAAAACCAUUAUGACUUUGUGGGAAAGUGUGAUCUCAGCUCUCAUGGAACUCUGGUCUGAAAGAAACCGCUGCACCCGUCCUUAGGGAGUGUCCUGUCUGAGAGAGGAGAGAGGAACAUUUCUGAGUCCAGAAUCGAAAGGAUUCUGGCCUUGUGGAAUAGUUCAAGAGCAGGUGCAUGACCGAGGACUCGUGUAUUGAAUGUUCUGCCAUGGACUUUGAAUUUGAGUGACUGACCAAAGACACAGGGACAUCUGGAAGUCACAUUAAUCACAGAAGUUGGGAGGUGUGCACUGUGUGAUUCCUGGGACGAGUUCCUGCCAUACCUGAGCUGUCAGAUACUUGUGUUUUAUCAUGGACUGAAAGGCAAGUGCAAGGUAAUGGAUAUUUACCAAGUUUAUAACAUUAUUGAGGCAUAAUUAACAUAAAGUGAAAUUAAUAAUUAUCUCAUGUGACAUUUACAAUUGAGAAAAAUUAUGUUAAAAACUAGGGCUUCAUUAUAAAAUAUGAAAAUAUUUGACUUAAAAAACUGGACUUGAGGGACCAGUGCUGUGGCACAGUGGGUUAAAGCCCCAGCCUGCAGUGCCAGCAUACCAUAUGGGUGCCGAUUUGAGUCCUGGUUGCUCCACUUCCAAUCCAGCUUCCUGCCAAUGCACCUGGGAAAGCAGUGGAGGAUGGCCCAAGUCCUUAGGCCCCUGCACCCAUGUAGGAGACCCAGAGGAGGCUCCUAGCUUUGGAUUCAGAUAGGUUCAGCUCAGGCCAUUGCGACCAUCUGGGGAGUGAAUCAGUGGAUAAAAAUCUCCCUCACUCUGUUUCUAUCUCUCUUCUCUGUAACUCUAUC